GCAUCGAUAGCUCAGUGGCAGAGCGGUGGGGCGUUUACCCAUGCUGCGGCCCGGGUUUGAUUCCCGGUCGAUGUA